GACGAACGCUGGCGGCGUGCUUAACACAUGCAAGUCGAACGGAAAGGCCCUGCUUUUGUGGGGUGCUCGAGUGGCGAACGGGUGAGUAACACGUGAGUAACCUGCCCUUGACUUUGGGAUAACUUCAGGAAACUGGGGCUAAUACCGGAUAGGAGCUCCUGCUGCAUGGUGGGGGUUGGAAAGUUUCGGCGGUUGGGGAUGGACUGGCGGCUUAUCAGCUUGUUGGUGGGGUAGUGGCUUACCAAGGCUUGGACGGGUAGCCGGCCUGAGAGGGUGACCGGGCCCAUGGGCCUAGGGGAGGCACCAGGGCGGAAGGGGGGGGAAAGGGGGGGAAAUUGUUCCAGCUGGGCGGCGGGGGUGAAGAAGGCCGCCGGGUGGGGAAGGCGGGCUUUGGGGUAGGAAACGCUUUUCGCUAAUAACGAGGGGGGAGGACGGUAAAUGGAGAAAAAGCACCGGCUAAAUUCGUG
rnacentral:rRNA from 1 species